AAUUUUGGACAAUGGGGGAAACCCUGAUCCAGCCAUCCCGCGUGUAUGAUGAAGGCCUUCGGGUUGUAAAGUACUUUUGGCCGAGAAGAAACGGUACCUCCUAAUACGAGGUACUGCUGUGGGUAUCUGCAGAAUAAGCACCGGCUAACGACGUGCCAGCCGACUCGGCAAUACGUCGGGUGCAAGCGUUAAUCGGAAGUACUGGGCGUAAAGCGUGUGUAGGCGGUUCGGAAAGAAAGAUGUGAACUCCCAGGGCUCAACCUUGGAACUGCAUUUUUAGCUGCCGAGCUAGAGUAUGUCAGAGGGGGGUAGAAUUCCACGUGUAGCAGUGAAAUGCGUAGAUAUGUGGAGGAAUACCGAUGGCGAAGGCAGCCCCCUGGGAUAAUACUGACGCUCAGACACGAAAGCGUGGGGAGCAAACAG
rnacentral:rRNA from 1 species